rnacentral:rRNA from 1 species
UUUUACUAUGAAGAGUUUGAUCCUGGCUCAGGAUGAACGCUAGCUACAGGCUUAACACAUGCAAGUCGAGGGGCAGCAUGGACUUAGCUUGCUAAGUCCGAUGGCGACCGGCGCACGGGUGAGUAACGCGUAUCCAACCUUCCCAUGGCUUCGGGAUAGCCCGGUGAAAACCGGAUUAAUACCGUAUAGUGUCCCUUGACGGCAUCCGACGGGGACUAAAGCUUUUGCGGCGAUGGAUGGGGAUGCGUCCGAUUAGCUUGUUGGCGGGGUAACGGCCCACCAAGGCGACGAUCGGUAGGGGUUCUGAGAGGAAGGUCCCCCACACUGGAACUGAGACACGGUCCAGACUCCUACGGGAGGCAGCAGUGAGGAAUAUUGGUCAAUGGGCGGAAGCCUGAACCAGCCAAGUAGCGUGCAGGAUGACGGCCCUACGGGUUGUAAACUGCUUUUAUACGGGAAUAACGUGCACUACGUGUAGUGCCUUGCAUGUACCGUAUGAAUAAGGACCGGCUAAUUCCGUGCCAGCAGCCGCGGUAAUACGGAAGGUCCGGGCGUUAUCCGGAUUUAUUGGGUUUAAAGGGAGCGUAGGCCGCAUGUCAAGCGUGCUGUUAAAUGUCCGGGCUCAACCCGGGCAUGCGGCGCGAACUGGCGUGCUUGAGUCCGCGGAAAGCAGGCGGAAUUCGUCGUGUAGCGGUGAAAUGCUUAGAUAUGACGAAGAACCCCGAUUGCGAAGGCAGCUUGCUGCAGCGGCACUGACGCUGAUGCUCGAAAGCGCGGGUAUCGAACAGGAUUAGAUACCCUGGUAGUCCGCGCGGUAAACGAUGGAUGCCCGCUGUGCGCCUUUUUGGUGCGCGGCCAAGCGAAAGCGUUAAGCAUCCCACCUGGGGAGUACGCCGGCAACGGUGAAACUCAAAGGAAUUGACGGGGGCCCGCACAAGCGGAGGAACAUGUGGUUUAAUUCGAUGAUACGCGAGGAACCUUACCCGGGCUUGAACUGCAGCUGCAUGGGGUGGAGACACCCCUUCCCUUCGGGGCUGCUGCGGAGGUGCUGCAUGGUUGUCGUCAGCUCGUGCCGUGAGGUGUCGGCUUAAGUGCCAUAACGAGCGCAACCCCUCUCUCCAGUUGCCAUCAGGCUAUGCUGGGCACUCUGGAGACACUGCCGCCGCAAGGUGCGAGGAAGGCGGGGAUGACGUCAAAUCAGCACGGCCCUUACGUCCGGGGCUACACACGUGUUACAAUGGCGCAUACAGAAAGCAGGUGUCGUGCAAACGCCACCAAAUCCUGAAAGUGCGCCCUAGUUCGGAUUGGGGUCUGCAACCCGACCCCAUGAAGCUGGAUUCGCUAGUAAUCGCGCAUCAGCCAUGGCGCGGUGAAUACGUUCCCGGGCCUUGUACACACCGCCCGUCAAGCCAUGAAAGCCGGGGGCGCCUGAAGUCCGUGACCGCGAGGGUCGGCCUAGGGUGAAACCGGUGAUUGGGGCUAAGUCGUAACAAGGUAGCCGUACCGGAAGGUGCGGCUGGAACACCUCCUUUCU